rnacentral:rRNA from 1 species
GAUGAACGCUGGCGGCGUGCCUAAUACAUGCAAGUCGAGCGAACAGAUAAGGAGCUUGCUCCUUUGACGUUAGCGGCGGACGGGUGAGUAACACGUGGGUAACCUACCUAUAAGACUGGGAUAACUUCGGGAAACCGGAGCUAAUACCGGAUAACAUUUGGAACCGCAUGGUUCUAAAGUGAAAGAUGGUUUUGCUAUCACUUAUAGAUGGACCCGCGCCGUAUUAGCUAGUUGGUAAGGUAACGGCUUACCAAGGCGACGAUACGUAGCCGACCUGAGAGGGUGAUCGGCCACACUGGAACUGAGACACGGUCCAGACUCCUACGGGAGGCAGCAGUAGGGAAUCUUCCGCAAUGGGCGAAAGCCUGACGGAGCAACGCCGCGUGAGUGAUGAAGGGUUUCGGCUCGUAAAACUCUGUUAUUAGGGAAGAACAAAUGUGUAAGUAACUGUACACGUCUUGACGGUACCUAAUCAGAAAGCCACGGCUAACUACGUG